ensembl:ncRNA Y94H6A.17 ncRNA
AAUUUUCCCUAAAAUUUUCCCACCUACAGUACCCCCGGAACACUUACCGUACUCCCCAAUGUUCCUCACCCCCAUUUUUUCUGUACAGUUUAUCCAAAUAUACUGCAUUUACAGUUUAUUGCGUAACUAUUGUUAAUCCGUAUGCACCUUUAAAAAUUUCUGGAUUUUUUCA